rnacentral:rRNA from 1 species
GACGAACGCUGGCGGCGUGCCUAAUACAUGCAAGUAGAACGCUGAAGAGAGGAGCUUGCUCUUCUUGGAUGAGUCGCGAACGGGUGAGUAACGCGUAGGUAACCUGCCUUGUAGCGGGGGAUAACUAUUGGAAACGAUAGCUAAUACCGCAUAACAAUGGAUGACACAUGUCAUUUAUUUGAAAGGGGCAAUUGCUCCACUACAAGAUGGACCUGCGUUGUAUUAGCUAGUAGGUGAGGUAAUGGCUCACCUAGGCGACGUUACAUAGCCGACCUGAGAGGGUGAUCGGCCACACUGGGACUGAGACACGGCCCAGACUCCUACGGGAGGCAGCAGUAGGGAAUCUUCGGCAAUGGGGGCAACCCUGACCGAGCAACGCCGCGUGAGUGAAGAAGGUUUUCGGAUCGUAAAGCUCGGUUGUAAGUCAAGAACGGGUGUGAGAGUGGAAAGUUCACACUGUGACGGUAGCUUACCAGAAAGGGACGGCUAACUACGUG